rnacentral:rRNA from 1 species
GGUAUGGGAUGAGCUUGCGUCCGAUCAGCUAGUUGGCGGGGCAACGGCCCACCAAGGCGACGAUCGGUAGCCGGCCUGAGAGGGCGAUCGGCCACAUUGGGACUGAGAUACGGCCCAGACUCCUACGGGAGGCAGCAGUAGGGAAUAUUGCACAAUGGGGGAAACCCUGAUGCAGCAACGCCACGUGUGGGAAGAAGCAUUUCGGUGUGUAAACCACUGUCGUGAGGGAAUAAGGCAUUGUUUCGGCGAUGUUGAAUGUACCUCGAAAGGAAGCACCGGCAAACUUCGUGCCAGCAGCCGCGGUAAUACGAGGGGUGCAAGCGUUGUUCGGAAUCACUGGGCGUAAAGGGAGCGUAGGCGGAGAUGCAAGCAGUCUGUACAAUACCGGGGCCCAACCCCGGACCUGCAGACUGGACUGUGUCUCUUGGAUAGUUCAGGGGCAGGC